rnacentral:rRNA from 1 species
UUAAAGUAGUAAGGGCGCAGGGUGGAUGCCUUGGCACUAAGAGCCGAUGAAAGACGUGAUAAGCUGCGAAAAGCUUCGGGGAGGAGCACAUAUCCAUUGAUCCGGAGAUAUCUGAAUGGGGAAACCCGGCAGAGGAAACCUCUGUCAGCAUGUAGUGAAUUCAUAGCUGCAUGUGGGGAACCCGGGGAACUGAAACAUCUAAGUACCCGGAGGAAGAGAAAGAAAAUUUAUCGAUUUCCAAAGUAGCGGCGAGCGAAAUGGAAGGAGCCCAAACCGUGGUGCGUGCAUCACGGGGUUCGGACUGCGACAUGAGAGACGUAAGAUAGGAGAACGGACUGGGAAGUCCGGCCGGAGAGAGUGAAAGCCUCGUAUCCGAAAUCCCAAGUCAUCUAGCAGGAUCCAGAGUAGGACGAGACACGAGAAACCUUGUCUGAAGGAGCGGGGACCACCCCGUAAGGCUAAAUACUUCUUAGUGACCGAUAGCGCAUAGUACUGUGAAGGAAAGGUGAAAAGUACCCCGGGAGGGGAGUGAAAGAGAACCUGAAACCCUGUGUCUACAAGCUGUGGGACCUCUUUAUAUGAGGGACUGCGUACUUUUUGUAGAACGGUCCGGCGAGUUGUGCGUACUGGCGAGGUUAAGGACUUAAGGUCCGGAGCCGAAGUGAAAGCAAGCGUUAAGAGCGCGGUCAGUCAGUGAGUGCAGACCCGAAACCGGGUGACCUAUCCAUGUCCAGGUUGAAGCUUCCGUAAGAGGAAGUGGAGGACCGAACCCACAUCCGUUGAAAAGGGUGGGGAUGAGGUGUGGAUAGCGGAGAAAUUCCAAUCGAACCCGGAGAUAGCUGGUUCUCCUCGAAAUAGCUUUAGGGCUAGCCUCAUGAGAGUCUUAUGGAGGUAGAGCACUGAAUUGCCUAGGGGGCGUCAAAGCUUACCAAAGCAUAUCAAACUCCGAAUGCCAUCAAGAUGAUUCAUGGGAGUCAGACCAUACGAGAUAAGUUGGAUGGUCAAAAGGGAAAGAGCCCAGACCUACAGCUAAGGUCCCAAAGUGCGUGUUAAGUGGAAAAGGAUGUGGGGAUUCUAAGACAACUAGGACGUUGGCUUAGAAGCAGCCAUUCAUUGAAAGAGUGCGUAAUAGCUCACUAGUCGAGAGUCCCUGCGCCGAAAAUGUCCGGGGCUGAAACACGACACCGAAGCUUAGGAAUGUGUAAACAUUGGUAGAGGAGCAUUGCUAGCGGGAUGAAGCCAUACCGAAAGGAGUGGUGGACUGCUAGGAAGAGAGAAUGCCGGAAUGAGUAGCGAGAUGAAGGUGAGAAUCCUUCAGGCCGAAUAUCUAAGGUUUCCAGAGUAAAGCUGAUCUGCUCUGGGUAAGUCGGGACCUAAGGCGAGGUCGAAAGACGUAGUCGAUGGAUAACAGGUUGAAAUUCCUGUACCGCAUAUAAACAGAACUGUGGGGACACAGACAGGGAAUGGAAUCCGGGGAUGGAGAACCCGGAGCAAGCGAGGUAGGAGUAUCAUUGGCAAAACCGUGAUACAGAUCUGAAGACGUGAUGCGUACCGAACAUAAGUAGGGAAGUCNNNNNNNNNNAGUGGAUAUCCCGGAGCAAGCGAGGUAGGAGUGCUGUUGGCAAAUCCGCAGCACGAUCUGAAGACGUGAUGCGUACCGAACAUAAGUAGGGAAGUCCAGGCCCCUGGCUGUCAAGAAAAGCCGCUAUUGUUUUAUAUGUGCCCGUACCGCAAACCGACACAGGUGGAUGAGGAGAGAAUCCUAAGGCCGACGGGAGAAGUAUUGUUAAGGAACUCGGCAAAAUGACUCCGUAACUUCGGGAGAAGGAGUGCCAUGAGAGUGGCCGCAGAGAAAUGGCCCAAGCAACUGUUUAGCAAAAACACAGGUCUAUGCAAAACCGCAAGGUGAAGUAUAUGGGCUGACGCCUGCCCGGUGCUGGAAGGUUAAGGGGAGAGGUUAGCGCAAGCGAAGCUUUGAACUUAAGCCCCAGUAAACGGCGGCCGUAACUAUAACGGUCCUAAGGUAGCGAAAUUCCUUGUCGGGUAAGUUCCGACCCGCACGAAAGGCGUAAUGAUUUGGGCACUGUCUCAACGAUACACCCGGUGAAAUUGAAAUACCAGUGAAGAUGCUGGUUACCUGCGCCAGGACGGAAAGACCCCAUGGAGCUUUACUCCAGUUUGAUACUGGGAUUCGGCAUGGUAUGUACAGGAUAGGUGGGAGACUGAGAAGGUAUGACGUCAGUUGUACCGGAGUCGCUGUUGGGAUACCACCCUUACCAUGUUGGAUUUCUAACCUGUGGCCGUGAACCGGUCAGGGGACAAUGUCAGGCGGGGAGUUUGACUGGGGCGGUCGCCUCCGAAAGGGUAUCGGAGGCGCUCAAAGGUUCCCUCAGAAUGGUUGGAAACCAUUCGAAGAGUGCAAAGGCAGAAGGGAGCUUGACUGUGACACCGACGGGUGGAGCAGGUACGAAAGUAGGACUUAGUGAUCCGGUGGUAUAAAGUGGGAUUGCCAUCGCUCAACGGAUAAAAGCUACCCUGGGGAUAACAGGCUUAUCACUCCCAAGAGUUCACAUCGACGGAGUGGUUUGGCACCUCGAUGUCGGCUCAUCGCAUCCUGGAGCUGUAGCAGGUUCCAAGGGUUGGGCUGUUCGCCCAUUAAAGCGGUACGCGAGCUGGGUUCAGAACGUCGUGAGACAGUUCGGUCCCUAUCCGGCGCAGGCGGAGGAAAUUUGAUAGGAGCUGUCCUUAGUACGAGAGGACCGGGAUGGACGGACCGCUGGUGUAUCUGUUGUACUGCCAAGUGCAUCGCAGAGUAGCCAAGUCUGGAAGGGAUAAACGCUGAAGGCAUCUAAGCGUGAAGCCCCCCUAAAGAUAAGAUUUCCCAUACCGAAAGGUAGUAAGACCCCUUGAAGACGACGAGGUAGAUAGGGCAGAGGUGGAAGUGUGGUAACGCAUGGAGCUGACUGUUACUAAUCGGUCGAGGCUUUAACCAA